GUCCGGAGUUGCACGGUAGACCACAUUUGAUCAGUGCUAUCACCUCGAGUAACUUCCUCGACCUCCCGAUGUGAACUCCUCCCUGCCAUCAUGUUUAGGCAUCGUGGCCCUCAUUUGGACAUCAGAGUUUUUUUGCGCCCCCUCAGGAAAAUGAAGAUUGCCAAAGUUUGUUUCCCAGAGAUUUUCAUCAAUUGAAGUCUUGCUUUUACUUCUCUGACUGGAAAUCAUAGAUGGCAUUUUAAGUGUAAAGUAAAAUACUGUCCUCAA
rnacentral:lncRNA from 1 species